rnacentral:rRNA from 1 species
CUCCUCAAUGUUCUGGGCGACACGCGCACUACAAUGUCAGUGAGAACAAGAAUCCCGACCAUUUGAUCGGACCCACUUGAUUCAAAAGAGGGGGGAAACACCGGAAUCACAUCGACCCACUUGGGACCGAGUAUUGCAAUUAUUGGUCGCGCAACGAGGAAUGUCUCGUAGGCGCAGCUCAUCAAACUGUGCCGAUUACGUCCCUGCCAUUUGUACACACCGCCCGUCGUUGUUUCCGAUGAUGGUGCAAUACAGGUGAUUGGACUAGCGGGCCUUCGGUCUGCUGGAAAUUUCACCGAUAUUUCUUCAAUAGAGGAAGCAAAAGUCGUAACA